AUAUGACUGUGAAUGUUCAAAUGCAGCACAGAUAUAUAGAAAAGUAUCUGAUGGUGAAAAGCCAGGUUCACUGGCUAAGAUUGGUGAUCCUGAAGUAAAAUUAUUUAUAGAGAAAUGCAUUGCUAAAGUCACUGAAAGACUUUCGACAAAUGAACUCUUAAUGGAUCCUUUUCUCCUAGAUGUUAGUGAUGAAAAAAUAUUCUAUCCAGUGCAUC